rnacentral:rRNA from 1 species
UACAGAGGGGGCGAGCGUUGUUCGGAAUUACUGGGCGUAAAGGGCUCGUAGGCGGCCAACUAAGUCGGACGUGAAAUCCCUCGGCUUAACCGGGGAACUGCGUCCGAUACUGGAUGGCUUGAGAUUGGGAGAGGGAUGCGGAAUUCCAGGUGUAGCGGUGAAAUGCGUAGAUAUCUGGAGGAACACCGGUGGCGAAGGCGGCAUCCUGGACCGGCAUUGACGCUGAGGCGCGAAAGCUAGGGGAGCAAACGGG